GCCCUGGCCACCAACUGUGUGUUGGUAGCUUACAGGUACAUUUCCCAGCCCCCCGGCUGAUGCAGCCCCAACCGACACCUUGCUGGUGAUCUCAGAGACCGUGAGUCAGAACCACCCAGCUACCCUGCUCCCGGGCUCCUGACCCACGCGCACCAAGACAAGAAAAGGUCGCCUCUGUAAACCGCUAAGUGUUGGAGUCGUUUGUUACACAGCAGUAGAAAAUGCUCCUCAACGCCUCUCCCUCGCAUCACCCCACGGGGUAGCCUUCACUCCGCCCCAUUUGAAGUGAUCUUACUUGUUUACUGUAUCUAUUCCUCAGGAAGGGGGUGCUCCAAGGAGAUAAGGGGUUUGUUAGGUUCACUGUGGCGUCUCUGGUGCUAAGACAAUGUAGAGGCUGGUUAGUGGCUGAGUUACAGUGACGCGUCAACGCCAGGAGCCCAUCAUUCUGGGAUGUCCCGUGUCUGAGAAGCCAGGACAUGCCAGGGAAACAAGAACAGACCCUUAGUCAGAGCUUCCUGGUCCCAGCCCCAGCACUGCCACUUCCUGCUGCCCAGUGGCCUCAGAAUGUCACUCAACCUCUAUGAGCCUCAGUUUCCUCAUCUGUGGAUCAGGGAUGAUAACGACCCCCACGAGUGCCGUAAGGAGACAAGGCUCGAGUGUGACACACAGCAGCUGAUUGAUAAAGCCGCUUCUCUCGCCACCUGCCUGAGGUGUCACUUGAGAACGCGGGCUGCUGGCUGCUGGGCGGCCGCUCAUGGGCAGACCUGCAGCGCAGGAGGGAAGGAGGGAGGGGUGAUUCUGUAGUAGAUGAUGUGUCCCCAAGUGCCAGAGCCCAGCGUGGCGCCUGGCAUCCAGCGGGCUGCAGGGGGUGGGGGGAUGUUUGUUACGUGAGCCCAUAACGGAGCUGGCUGCCACCUCACACGCUAAGAGCGGCACACAGUGGUCCCUGUUUAAACCGAGGAUGGUCAUGCUCCUGUUUGAACCUCAAGGCAUAGCAGCACGGUCUUAGGGCAGAAGGAGUAAUAAAUGCUGUGGGGAGAAGGGGCAGAGAGCAGCUGGGCAGAACUCCGGCGAGGGCGACACCUACAGGUGCACGCUUGGCCGUGGCGUCAGCGUGGGUGAGGUGGCAGGCGGCUGGGAGCAUACUGGAGCCCUCUGGUUCCCUGCCGAAGGGGGUGAGAACCAGGAAUAGGGCGCCUUUCCAAACUGGCAUGAACAGAUGCAAGGUCACAAACGCAGCCUCACACCUGUUCAACCAACACCUGGAGCCAGCAUGAGGCUUUACAUGUGUGCACGCGUAGGCCACGGACACGUUAGUUUGAGUGGCCCCAGACAUGCCUGGAGACAAGGAUUGUGGCACAAGUUGUUUAUUUGGGAGGUGAAGGCGAGGGGGGAAGGGAAGUGAGAAAAGGAAGGGAAGGCAGCGAAUCAAGGCUAUCAAGCCACCCACCGUGCAGGAGCCCACUACUGUGGAAAACAGGAACCGGGCCACCAGGAAGCCGUGUGCAGAGCUCUCCCAGCCAAGAGGCAAGGCAGCUGGGGUACUGGCUGAAGUGCCCCGGGAAUGCCGUCUCCACACUUCGGCCUACCGCCCAAGUGGCCAAGGGGUCUCCAGCAGCAAGGAGGUGCUGGCAGUUAGAAGUCAGGCCAGUGUGUACUGAGGAGGCUAGGGCAAGGGACGCUGGUGGCCAGUGCUCUCUGGACUAAGAGAAAGCCUCCCAUUGUCCUUAUGACAACACAAUGGAUGAUUAAGCCUUCAUGUGGCUUUCAGAAAGGCAAGGGUGUAAGGAACCAUUCUGGUCACUCUUGUUUUGAUUCUGUGGUGGACCUUGCGGACUGAGUCAUUAAACAAGGGUGCCAAUCCCCUCCUUCCAUGCCCUGUGGUAGUUGGUCUCUGGAAAAAACUGAAAUCUACAUUUCCCAGACACCCUUGCAGCUAGGUUUCUGUGGGUGGUCUCAGCUGCUCUAGAUAGAUGCCUGCCCAAGGUAUAGAAGGUGGAAGUGAGCAACACAGAGCGGUGGACAGAUGGGGCGCCCCGGCUGGCAGGGAACAGAAAGGUCUGGUUCUCCCACAGCAGCUGGCUCCAGCGUUUGGGCCUGAGCAUCACAGACAGUGGUGUUUCUGUGGCAACAGUCUCAGGCAGGGUUAGCUGAUUGUCCAGGCUAUGCUGUCCCUGGCCAUGGCGCAUCAAAGUUUAUUCCCCUGGUAGUUCUGGAAUCUCAUUCCGAACACCCAGGAAUAAAUUCCACUCUGCUCAAACCAGAAAGAGUGGAUUCUGGUGUCUGCGACUAAUCACUGCGACUGGAUACAAAUUCAGAUUCUGAAAUCACCUCUAUUGUGUUUUCUUGUGUGGAAGAAAUACAGAAAAGCUUAAGAAAAACAAGUAUAAAUCAUCUGCAAUCCCACCACCUGGAGCCUCUGGUGGUGUCUGCACAUAUAAAGAAGCAGCCACCUCUUCCAGUAUUUAUGGACAGGAUUUGGGAAGAAAAGACCUUCAUCAGACAGCCUGCCUAAAGAUUCUGGAGAUCUCUCAAACCUUUUCUAUGGACCACUCCACUUCCACUACAUUCUGGGGAGCUGCUCUCCGAUGAUCCAAGCCAUACCAAUUUCCUCAGUGCUCUAAUGUGCCAAGUUUGACUGAUGCUGGAUUUUGUGGUCCACUGGGGUGCUGAUACCUUCAACUGAACUCCAGAGCUCUCAAAAAGUAACGGAUCGAAGGCUGGACAUGUGACCUGGGCCCAGCAAACCCAUGCCAGGACUUGCCACAGAACUUUUGUGAACGAGAACCUCUCUUCCCUUGGGGAGCUGUUGGGGCUACCACCCGCAACAAACUGACUAGACAGUGAGGCCAACAUGGAAAGCAGAGGGCGAAGGUAACUCCUGAUGACACAACGUGAGUCGCUGGGUAAAACCGGACCUGAUGCUGUUUUGACUUGGAUGGGAGUGGACUACAGGGAGCUGGGACCAAAGCCAGCAAAGCAACACACGAGCUUGAGCACUGAUGUUCAUGCAUGUCAGUGUGUUCAGCAUAAACUAUGGAGGGAAGAGGACUCCAGAAAGAGAACCCCCAAGAGCGUGCAUGCACACAUCACGCUCACAGUUCAGGCCACGAUAGUGCGGGUCAUGGCAGGGGGUUGGGAGGACCUACAGUCAACAGAGGAAGGUCUGCUCUAGCUUAAUAGGAGGCUUUACCACAUUGUUGGCAUCUCUGUAUGAUACGCAAUUAGCUUUGAAACAAGAAUAAAAAUAAGGCAUCAGUCAGCUAUAAAGUAGCUUAAUGGGUGCAUGAAUCAAAACAGCAUUUAAAUAUGGUACAGCAGCCUAUUUGGAGCCUUUAAAAAGCCUCGUGCUGUUGAUCUCUCCCCAAGGAGGAAAUCCUUGGUGUUGCUGCCCUCUCUUUCUUAUGCAUGAACAGGGCCUUCAAAUGCAUCAUCUCCUGGGAUCCACGGAGGGACAGGUGGCUGGGUCAAGGUCACACGGGCUACUGAGGCACAGCAGACCUGCGGACAAAGGUCUUCCUACUACAACCCCGGGUUUGACGCAUCACCAGAGGCAGGUUUCCUCAGGAGCCACGGAGGCUGAAGCCGCAGGGCCCUCACUUGUGUGACCCUUUCUUAGAUCUGACACGUAAUUCUGGGUUCUUUUUCUUAAAAAGUGCCACCCCAAAAUAUAUAAGUUCUCCGCUCUAGGCCCACAAGGCAUGGAUCAGCCCCAAUCCCCAGCCACACCCGAGGCUGAUUUCCCACUCCUUUCUCCCCAUCUUUCAAGAACCCCAAACCCACAGGGCGUUGUCACAGACCUGAAAUAGCUACUCAAAGCCUCUGCUGCCAGAACGUCUCUGCUCGUCCUUAUCUGCAGUUUCCUCCCCAUUACUGAUGAUUUAGACACUUGUUAUGUAAAUGACAUCUACAGAGACCCAUUCUGUGAAAUGCUUACAGGACUCUUUUAACGUCUUCAUCAUUUUAAAAAUAAAACCAAAUCCUCCUGCU